GACAGAGGGUGCAAACGUUGUUCGGAAUUACUGGGCGUAAAGCGCGUGUAGGCGGCCAUGCAAGUCGGAUGUGAAAGCCCUCGGCUCAACCGGGGAAGUGCACUCGAAACUGCAAGGCUAGAGUCUCGGAGAGGAUCGUGGAAUUCCCGGUGUAGCGGUGAAAUGCGUAGAGAUCGGGAGGAACACCAGUGGCGAAGGCGGCUACCUGGACCAGCACUGACACUGAGGCACGAAAGCGUGGGGAGCAAACAGG
rnacentral:rRNA from 1 species